GAUAUUAGCUAGACAAAUUCGGAGCGGAGGAACCACAUUUGGGGCGUAUUUCUAGAUUUUUUAGCCUAGAAAAGGAUAUCUCUCUAUCCUAGCCCGUCAGCUAACUUCGUCGGCGUGGGGGGGAAGACUG
rnacentral:sRNA from 1 species